AUUGAACGCUGGCGGCAUGCUUUACACAUGCAAGUCGAGGGGCAGCAUAAAAUAAACUUGUUUAUUUGGUGGCGACCGGCGCGCGGGUGCGUAACGCGUAUGCAACCUACCUUAUACUGGGGAAUAGCCCGAAGAAAUUCGGAUUAAUGCCCCAUAGUACUGAGACCUCUCCUGAGGAUUCAGUUAAAGCUUUGGCGGUAUAAGAUGGGCAUGCGUCCAAUUAGCUAGAUGGUGAGGUAACGGCUCACCAUGGCGACGAUUGGUAGGGGGCCUGAGAGGGUGGUCCCCCACACUGGUACUGAGACACGGACCAGACUCCUACGGGAGGCAGCAGUGAGGAAUAUUGGUCAAUGGGCGCAAGCCUGAACCAGCCAUGCCGCGUGAAGGAUGAAGGUUCUAUGGAUUGUAAACUUCUUUUAUUUGGGAAUAAACCUCCUUACGUGUAGAGAGCUGAAGGUACCAAAUGAAUAAGCACCGGCUAACUCCGUGCCAGCCGCCGCAGUAAUAC
rnacentral:rRNA from 1 species